rnacentral:rRNA from 1 species
CGUGUAGGCGGCCAGGUAGGUCCGCUGUGAAAACUCGAGGCUCAACCUCGAGAUGUCGGCGGAAACCAUCUGGCUAGAGUCCGGAAGAGGGAAGUGGAGUUCCCGGUGUAGCGGUGAAAUGCGCAGAUAUCGGGAAGAACACCCGUGGCGAAGGCGGCUUUCUGGGACGGUACUGACGCUGAGACGCGAAAGCGUGGGGAGCGAACA